rnacentral:lncRNA from 1 species
CCAAAUAUUAAAGUAAGAAAACAUUUCAUGAAACAGGUUCCUUCAAAGGGCCCAAGAGAUUUAUAAUCCUCUUAACUUUCGAUCAAAAAAUCUUAUGCAUUUAAUGUCUAAGUGCAUCUUCACUUCAUUCAUGUAUUGCAAUCUCCAUGCCAAACAAAUAAAAACAUUUUUGUUUAAUGUGAUAUUAAUAUCUAAUAAAUGUCAUCAUAG